ensembl:lncRNA
AGGAGAUGGCACAUCAAGAUACCACUGAUGCGUUCCUAAGUGUACAGCUUCAGCUAGAUGUAAUUCUGCUUUGAGUUUUUUUUUUACAUGCCCACAAAAGGAUGAGCUGCAAAAAAAGUAGAUCAUCAACAUCCGGAGAGAUAAACCCUAACCCCUAACACUGACAGGAAGGAGCGAUCAAAUGCACAAGGGCGCCGGAGGAGCUGUCCCCAUUCUUUUUGAAUGGAAUAAUUACUCCCUUCCUGCACCUCGUCCUGGUGUUUGGGAGCGAAGAAAACGACUAGACUUUCCCUCUGAGGACCCCGAGGAGGUAAUGGAUGUACCAUGUCCUGACCACAAGUACUGCUCCUGUGCUGAGCUGGGUGCAAUGGACUUAAGCCCUCAGUGUUAUAGAGGAAGUCCGGGCGGAGAACGCUGCGCUCCGGAGACGGAUGGAGCAGAUGGAUCAGGAACAAGUUUGGCUUGGAACUGUUUGCUGCUUCAGAUUAGGACAUUAGAUUUUAUACAAGAUCACCCAGCCUCUUUGGCCAUCACAUGCACUUCCUUCUUCUCAAAAAUGACCACUUGUCAAGUCAUCUUUUGUCUUUUUUUCCUCCUCCAACUACACAUCAGCCAAGCACAUUUCAUCUAUUGAUCCACUAUACCUCACUCCCGUCCACAUGUAUUAGGAGAAGCACGUUUCUCCUGUGAUGCUGCUGAUGCUGAUGCUGCUGCUGCUGAUGCUGAUGCUCAGUGCGCGCACAUCAGUAAGUGUAUCACGUAGCACUACAACAGCCUUUCUUCAUGCGCUCUUGCCAGACCUAUUGGAGAAAUAAUACCUCCGGGCAAGAUCUGUCACCGCUAAGUCAUUUGCUGGAAGACGAUCAGAAAGUAUGUUAAAUACACGGGAGUGUGUCACCGAGACGUCGACAGGAUCCCGGUCAGAUGAGCUCACAGCAGAGGGAGCAGGUUUCAACAGUUGACGCGGAGACCUGAGCGCAGCAGCAGCAGGAGCGAUUAAUUUCCAUUAUCCCGAAAUCAUCCAGUAAUCUGCUUUUUUUCCCCCUUCUCUUUCUUACACGGACUGGGUUUGAAGAACAUUGUCCGGAUGAAGGAUGUGAGACCACUGGGUCCAACUGGACUGGAUUAUGGGAUUACUGGACUGAUUAUAGGACAAUCAUCGGGCAAAAGUGGCAGCCUCGCUGUGGAUGCUCUUGAAUGAAGGGGACACAAAAGGUUGGAGAGGAGUAAAAAAAAAAAAGAAAGAAAAGAAGCUGUACAUCGUGCUUUUAUUCCACUUUGCUUUGGGGCUGUGCGUGCUACAGCAGCGGUGCACAAAUGCAACAGUGUGUCGCACAGUAGAGGGAAGUGAAUGCUUUGGGAAUGGCAACGUCGGGCGAUGCUGCAUUUUGAAACGGGCAUGUCAGAGUCUGCUGUAGCCUAGGUGGAGAUGUCGCAUGGGGGCAAUGCGCUUUUGCAAGCUACGAUCUAACCUUCACCACAGAGAUUCAAACGCUUUAACCUUGGAUGCAGAAGGGUGGGUGGGGGGGGGAUAUUAAUACUUUAUAAUCAUCGAUUAUUCAUUAAGUCUCCCCGCUGCGAGGCAAAGAAACAAAAGCAUUUUUGCACACAAAUAUGCUGAAUUUGAGAUUUAA